rnacentral:tRNA from 1 species
GUUGGGGUAGUCUAAAUAGAUAUUUGAUUUCGACUCAAAAGAACUUCUCAUAAGUCCCAAUA